rnacentral:rRNA from 1 species
GACGUAGGGCGCGAGCGUUGUCCGGAUUUAUUGGGCGUAAAGAGCUCGUAGGCGGUCUGUCGCGUCUGCUGUGAAAAACUCGGGGCUUAACCCCCGGGCCUGCAGUGGGUACGGGCAGACUAGAGUGCGGUAGGGGAGACUGGAAUUCCUGGUGUAGCGGUGAAAUGCGCAGAUAUCAGGAGGAACACCGGUGGCGAAGGCGGGUCUCUGGGCCGUAACUGACGCUGAGGAGCGAAAGCAUGGGGAGCGAACAGG